GGACGUGUGGCCCCGGAGACAGAUGGUGAGAGCUGCUCUCUGAGUUGAGACAGCUUGCCAGCUCUUGGUUCAGGUGCCACGCGAUGCCCUGAAGUCUGACUCUGCCCCUGUUUUGCCAUCUGAAGGCCCAAGAAUGGUGGUUCCAGGCUGGUUGAUUCAGAGGCUCAACUGUGUCAUCAGGACCAGCGAUGACCAACAGCAUCCUUCCACUCUGUUGUUUUCCUCUCAGUUCUUAAGAAGGUUGCAGCCUUUCCAAGCUUCCCAUCCAUGCAUAACAACGUCUAGUAGCUGGAGGAAAAGAAAUCAGCCUAGGGUCAUCUUGAACUCCUGGCCUCAAGUGAUCUUCCUGCUUCAGCCUCCAGAAUAGCCAGG
rnacentral:lncRNA from 1 species